rnacentral:rRNA from 1 species
AACGAACGCUGGCGGCAUGCCUAACACAUGCAAGUCGAACGAGACCUUCGGGUCUAGUGGCGCACGGGUGCGUAACGCGUGGGAACCUGCCCUUAGGUUCGGAAUAACUCCCCGAAAGGGGUGCUAAUACCGGAUAAUGUCUUCGGACCAAAGAUUUAUCGCCUUUGGAUGGGCCCGCGUUGGAUUAGCUAGUUGGUAGGGUAAAAGCCUACCAAGGCGACGAUCCGUAGCUGGUCUGAGAGGAUGAUCAGCCACACUGGGACUGAGACACGGCCCAGACUCCUACGGGAGGCAGCAGUGGGGAAUAUUGGACAAUGGGCGAAAGCCUGAUCCAGCAAUGCCGCGUGAGUGAUGAAGGCCUUAGGGUUGUAAAGCUCUUUUACCCGGGAUGAUAAUGACAGUACCGGGAGAAUAAGCGCCGGCUAACUCCGUG